rnacentral:rRNA from 1 species
AACGAACGCUGGCGGCGUGCCUAACACAUGCAAGUCGAGCGAGAAAGUCCCGGCAACGGGAUGAGUAAAGCGGCAAACGGGUGAGUAACGCGUGGGUAAUCUACCCUACGGAUCGGGAUAACCUGCCGAAAGGUGGACUAAUACCGGAUGAUGUUCUCGCGGUGAUUCCGUGGGAACCAAAGGGGGCGAGCGUAAGCAGCUCUCACCGAAGGAGGAGCCUGCGUCCGAUUAGCUAGUUGGUGGGGUAAUGGCCUACCAAGGCGACGAUCGGUAGCCGGCCUGAGAGGGCGAUCGGCCACACUGGAACUGAGACACGGUCCAGACUCCUACGGGAGGCAGCAGUGGGGAAUAUUGCGCAAUGGGCGAAAGCCUGACGCAGCGACGCCGCGUGGGUGAUGAAGGCCUUCGGGUCGUAAACCCUGUCUGGUGGAACGAAACGCCUGGCGGCUAAUACCUGCCGGGUUUGACGGUACCACCGAAGGAAGCCCCGGCUAACUACGUGCCAGCAGCCGCGGUAAGACGUAGGGGGCGAGCGUUGUUCGGAUUUACUGGGCGUAAAGCGCGCGUAGGCGGCCAGAUAAGUCGGGUGUGAAAGCCCUCGGCUCAACCGAGGUUCCACAUCCGAUACUGCUUGGCUGGAGUCUAGGAGAGGAGAGCGGAAUUCCCAGUGUAGCGGUGAAAUGCGUAGAUAUUGGGAGGAACACCCGUGGCGAAGGCGGCUCUCUGGACUAGUACUGACGCUGAGGCGCGAAAGCUAGGGGAGCGAACGGGAUUAGAUACCCCGGUAGUCCUAGCCGUAAACGAUGGGCACUAGGUGUGGGAGGUAUUGACCCCUUCCGCGCCGAAGCUAACGCAUUAAGUGCCCCGCCUGGGGAGUACGGCCGCAAGGCUAAAACUCAAAGGAAUUGACGGGGGCCCGCACAAGCGGUGGAGCAUGUGGUUCAAUUCGACGCAACGCGAAGAACCUUACCGGGGCUUGACAUCCCACGAACCUGCCUGAAAGGGCGGGGUGCCCGCAAGGGAGCGUGGAGACAGGUGGUGCAUGGCUGUCGUCAGCUCGUGUCGUGAGAUGUUGGGUUAAGUCCCGCAACGAGCGCAACCCUCACCCCUAGUUGCCACCGGGUAAUGCCGAGCACUCGAGGGGAACUGCCAGCGUCAAGCUGGAGGAAGGCGGGGAUGACGUCAAGUCAUCAUGCCCCUUACGCCCUGGGCUACACACGUGCUACAAUGGCCGGUACAAAGGGAUGCGAGACCGUGAGGUGGAGCCAAUCCCAAAAAGCUGGUCUAAGUUCGGAUUGCAGUCUGCAACUCGACUGCAUGAAGUAGGAAUCGCUAGUAAUCGCGCACAGCUACGGCGCGGUGAAUACGUUCCCGGGCCUUGUACACACCGCCCGUCACACCACGAAAGCUGGCUGUACUCGAAGUCGCUGAGCCAACCCGCAAGGGAGGCAGGCGCCGAAGGUAUGGUUAGUGAUUGGGGUG